GUGCGUACGAGGUAUGAGUAUUCUCUACGCCUAAAAAAAUUAGGAUAUUUGAUACUACUUUAAGAGAUGGUGAGCAAGCUCCUGGUAUAGAUCUAACAAUAGAGCAAAAAAUAAUGAUAGCUAGAAAUUUAGCAGAUCUAGGUGUUGAUGUAAUUGAAGCAGGUUUUCCUGCAUCUUCAGAAGGAGAAUUCAUAGCUACUAAAAAGAUUUUCGAAGAGGUAGGGGAUCAAGUAGAAGUAAUUGGAUUAUCUAGAUCCAAUAA
rnacentral:sRNA from 1 species